AUCUUCUAAACUUCAAAUUACUUAAUCUUCCAAUACACUCUGAAACAGGUACUAUUUAGUACCCCAUUUGACAGAUGAGAAAAUUAAGUCAUAGGGAAAUACACAUGACUGCAGGGGCAGGGUUUAUAUAUCGCAUGAAAAUGAAAAAGUUUGAGAAAGCCUAUAAAAAGUUCAGUCAUUGUGUACACUGUUAAAGGUCUUGGUUACUUGGAUUUCUCCUUAAUUUCCCUGCUUGAUUCUUCUUUAUACACAAAAUUAUAACAGCAGUCUCUUCUUCAUAAUAUAGAGCUUCUGGUGAGAACCUUGGAAUCUUAAAACUGUAUGUUAUUUUUCAUAUUACCUGGUGAGAUAAGUGUUAUCUUUAUUAAAGCUACGAAAUCUAGGAA
rnacentral:lncRNA from 10 species